AAUAGCUUUGCAAGGCUUGGCACUUGCCCAGUGGAAGACCAACCAAAUGAUCCUGCCAGUUCAGGACUGGAUCAGUAGAGAGGGUGGUGCCAGCUCCUCCUGUCCAAGCAGCCCUUCCCAGGAGCUCAGCGUGGACACCCUGAUAAGCUGCUGGAGGAACCGCUGAGCACACGCUUUGCCUUUGCAGUUAUUUCUGCAGAAGUUGUGAAAGCAGAGAGGAACUGCUUCCAAACUGCUGAGUGUACCUGAUGUCAUAAACCAACCACACAAGUGGCUCGUCCUGGCUGGUACCAGCAUCCGGGCACCUUGAGCAUCAAUGGUCCAGCUCUGCCACAGGAGCCAUGUCAUUCACAACUUCUCCAGAGCUGUGGGACCCCUUUCUUAGCACCAUAACCCACACUCUCCCAUGAGCACCCAAACACUUGUGGGUGUUUUCUUCAGGAAAGCAAGGCUGGCACUUGCUCUACAUCUCAGCAGACUUCCCUGAAAAUCUCUUUCAUAACUCCAUGUGCAGUAAUGGAGGGGUGUAUGCAGCCAGCAGUAUUGAGAGGAAGAAAUCUCUAUCAGCUGCCAGAAGUGACUCACGUAGAAGGAAAAAGGUGGACCUAAAAAGCAAACUACACAUCAGGACUAAAGUGUUGUACCUUCCUCCUCCUUUACUAAGCAGAAAGAGCAUCAGAAUUGAAAGCCAGCUUAUUUUUUGGGAAACAAAUGUCAAAUAACUGGAGAGCUUCAAGUGCCUGAUCUUUUUAUAAUAAAACCAAUGGGAUGUUUAAUUUGCCUAUUUUCCUAACACAUAAUAAAAUAUCUGGCAAACAUAAGUGAGAAAACCACUUAUGUUAAAAAAUUCUGUUUUCACUUC